rnacentral:rRNA from 1 species
CCUACGGGGGGCUGCAGUGGGGAAUAUUGGACAAUGGGGGGAACCCUGAUCCAGCCAUGCCGCGUGUGUGAAGAAGGCCCUCGGGUUGUAAAGCACUUUCAGUGAGGAAGAACGCCUGGUGGUUAAUACCCAUCAGGAAAGACAUCACUCACAGAAGAAGCACCGGCUAACUCCGUGCCAGCAGCCGCGGUAAUACGGAGGGUGCGAGCGUUAAUCGGAAUUACUGGGCGUAAAGCGCGCGUAGGUGGCUUGAUAAGCCGGUUGUGAAAGCCCCGGGCUCAACCUGGGAACGGCAUCCGGAACUGUCAAGCUAGAGUGCAGGAGAGGAAGGUAGAAUUCCCGGUGUAGCGGUGAAAUGCGUAGAGAUCGGGAGGAAUACCAGUGGCGAAGGCGGCCUUCUGGACUGACACUGACACUGAGGUGCGAAAGCGUGGGUAGCAAACAGGAUAGAUACCCGUGUAGUC